GACGAACGCUGGCGGCGUGCUUAACACAUGCAAGUCGAACGGAAAGGCCCUGCUUGCGGGGUACUCGAGUGGCGAACGGGUGUGUAACACGUGGGUGAUCUGCCCUGCACUUCGGGGUAUGCCUGGGAAACUGGGUCUAAUACCGGAUAGGAGCCAUUUUUAUUGUGGUGGUUGGAUGGUUUUUUUGGUUUGGGAUGGGCUCACGGCCUAUAAGUUAGUUGGUGGGGUAAUGGCUUACAAAGGCGGCGACGGGUAGCUGGCCUGGGGGGGUGGCCGGCCAAAUGGGGCUGAGAUACGGCCCAGACUUCCACGGGAGGCAGGAGUGGGGAAUAUUGCACAAUGGGCGCAAGCCUGAUGCAGCGACGGCGCGUGGCGGGUGACGGCCUUUGGGUUGGAAACUCGUUUCGCCAGGGGAGAAGCCGUUUGUGACGGUACCUAGAUAAGAAGCACCGGCUAACUACGUG
rnacentral:rRNA from 1 species